AAGGUUUUAUGUUAAUCUAAACAAAUAGCCUUCAAAGCUAUAAAUAUAAGUUUACUCUUGUAAGCCUUA
rnacentral:tRNA from 1 species